rnacentral:lncRNA from 1 species
GGGGGCUCAUUGCUGACCCUAAGAUGAGUACAGAAACCAAGAGAGUGAUCAAAUGUUGUGAUGGGUAAAAUUACAUCCCCUGCUACCCAGAAGAGUUCUCAGAGAAACCUGCCCAGAAAAAGUCAGGAGAAAGAAGAAAGAAAAGGGGCUGAGGCAACCAGAGAAGGAACACAGGCUAACCACAAGGCAUGCCACUCCUGGGACCCAGAAAGGUGGCACCCAUGUGAGUGCACGUCUAACACAUGAACCGGGUGGAAUCUGUGACCUAAGAGGAUUUGCUGGGAGAGCCCGACCUGCUGACUACAUGCCUCCAGCUCCAAGUCACGUGACUAUGCCUGUCCCACAGGAGCCCCGUAAGCCCCUGCCCCCACAACUCAUGUAGCUGCCUCCCUGUGCCCAGUCCUGACUCCUGCCCCAGCCACCUCCAGCCCCCUCUCCACCAAGUACAUCACUAAGUUCUGGGGAUCCAAACCCUUAAAUACUACAGAUUUCCCUGCACCGCUACUGGAGGGUUAGACCCAUGGGUCAUAGAAUUUGAUUGUAGAAUCUGAC